GGCCCCAUCGUCUAAUCCGGUUCAGGAUACCGCCCUCUCAAGGCGGAGAUGCGGGUUCAAAUCCCGCUGGGGCCA
rnacentral:tRNA from 1 species